AUUGAACGCUGGCGGCAUGCCUUACACAUGCAAGUCGAACGGCAGCGCGGGCUUCGGCCUGGCGGCGAGUGGCGGACGGGUGAGUAAUGCGUCGGAACGUGCCCAGGAGUGGGGGAUAACGUAGCGAAAGUUACGCUAAUACCGCAUACGUACUGAGGUAGAAAGCGGGGGAUCGAAAGACCUCGCGCUCAUGGAGCGGCCGAUGUCGGAUUAGCUAGUUGGUGAGGUAAAAGCUCACCAAGGCGACGAUCCGUAGCUGGCCUGAGAGGACGCCCAGCCACACUGGGACUAAGCCACUGCCCAGACUCCUACGGGAGGCAGCAGUGGGGAAUCUUGGACAAGGGGGGAACCCCUGAUCCAGCAAUGCCGGGUGUGGGAUGAAGGCCCUCGGUUUGUAAACCACUUUUGGCAGGAAAGAAAUCGCCUGUGCUAAUACCAUGGGCGGAUGACGGUACCUGCAGAAUACGCACCGGAUAACUACGUGCCAGCAGCCGCGGCAA
rnacentral:rRNA from 1 species